UUCCGGGGCGGAUUUUCACAGGGAUUUUUGGGAAUUUCUGGGAUUUUGGGUGGAUUUGGGGGAAUUUGGGGUGGAUUUUGAGUGGAAUUUCAGCCGUUCCGGGGCGGAUUUUCGCGGGGAUUUUUGGGGAUUUCGGGAAUUUGGGAAUUGGGGGUCCCUGACGGGUUUUGGGUGCCCCCAGCACGCCCUCCUGGCCCGGCAGUUCUGGGCCGAGGCGGGGCGGCUGCAGCGCUCCCGGGCGCGGUUCCGGCAGCGCCGCCUCGAGCGCGUCCGGCGGCAGCUCCACAUCGCCGGGCAGCCGCCGCUGUCGGAGGAGGAGCUGGAGCAGCUGCUGGAGUCGGGCCAGAGCCGGAUCUUCGUCCCCAACGCGAGUUUGGGGCAAAAAACGGCGAUUUUGGGGUUCCGGGGGGGAAAUUCGGGGGUUUGGGGGCAUUUUGGGAUUUUUUGGGGUGAAUUUUGGGCGUUUUUGGGGAUUUUGGGUUUCCUGGGUUGAAUGUUUUGAUUUUGUGCAGAUUUUGGGUGAAUUUUGGGGUGAAUUUUGCCCAUUUUGGGGUGGAUUUAAGGUUGAAUUUUGGGUGAAUUUCGGGGUGAAUUGUGCUGAUUUGGGGGUGGAUAUCCGGAUGAAUUAUAGAUGAAUUUUGGGGUGAAUUUGGCAGAUUUUGGGGUGGAUUUUGGGGUGAAUUUUGGGGUGAAUUUCGGGGUGAAUCAGGCGGAUUUCAGGGUGGAUUUUGGGGUGAAUUUUGGGGUGAAUUGUGCCGAUUUUGGGGUGAAUUGUGCCGAUUUUGGGGCGGAUUUCAGGGCGAAUUUCGGGGCGGAUUUUGGGGUGAAUUGUGCCGAUUUUGGGGUGGAUUUCAGGGCAAAUUUCGGGGCGGAUUUUGGGGUGAAUUGUGCCGAUUUCGGGGCGGAUUUCGGGGAGGAUUUUGGGGUGAAUUUUGCCGAUUUUGGGGCAAAUUGUGUCAAUUUUGGGGCGGAUUUCAGGGCGAAUUUCGGGGCGGAUUUUGGGGUGAAUUGUGCCGAUUUCG
rnacentral:lncRNA from 1 species